UUGGCAGGUGAGAGAGUGAGAGCAAGAGUGACAGAGAAGCACGAUGGUUGAAUUCAGAUGGAUUCCAAUUUAUUUUUUACUGCUCCAGAUUAAAGAAGGAGCAGCAGCUGAACCUUCAUUCUACUCCUUCACUGUCAGAGAUGGAGAUGACGUCACUUUUCCUUGUAACAAUGUGUUAGAGGAUCAUAAGAACUGUGACACUACUAAGUGGCUCUUUACUGAUUUAAGAAGCAGACCAGCAGUAGUAGUGCUGGUUUCACUUGGAAAGAUUGUUGAAACAGCCAAAGCUAAAUCAGACAGACUGAGUGUUUCAGAGAACUGUUCUCUGGUUAUAAAGAACGUCACAGAUGAAGAUGUUGGUCGUUAUGACUGCAGACAGUUCAGAUCAGGACGAGAAGAAGGUUCAGAUGCUGUGGUUUAUCUGUCUGUUGUUACCAUGACUGAACACAAGGACACUGAUGAGGUGACGUUAAACUGCUCUGUGUCGACAUAUGAAGGAUGUAAACACACAGUGAAGUGGCUGCUUCAGGGUCAAGAUGUGGAUAAAGACAACAAAGACUUGAAGACAUCAACGUCUGUCUGCUCAUCCAAUGUGAGUUUCAGGACUUCACAUCUUGUGUACACAUCAAAGAAUUAUGAGUUAUUGAAGUGUAAAGUGACCCAUGAUCGUUUAACGAGUUGAAGAGCAUCUGUUCACCUUCAGCCCUCCUCGG